rnacentral:lncRNA from 1 species
GUGCACCAUCACUCACCAACUCCAGAGGCUCAGUGCAUACAGUUUCAUUUCUACUGCAAAUUGGCCUCACACGGGAGAGUGUUACCAUUGAAGCCCAGGAACUGUCUUUAUCUGCUGUCAAGGAUCUUGUGUGCUCCAUAGUUUAUCAAAAGUUUCCAGAGUGUGGAUUCUUUGGCAUGUAUGACAAAAUUCUUCUCUUUCGCCAUGACAUGAACUCAGAAAACAUUUUGCAGCUGAUUACCUCAGCAGAUGAAAUACAUGAAGGAGACCUAGUGGAAGUGGUUCUUUCAGGUAAGUAAGUGGCUUUUUAGAGUGAUUGCCUUUUCCCCUCAAAGAGCCUAAUUUUCUGUACUAAAUGCUGCAAUUCGAUUAUAUUUAGUCUUUGUAUUAUUGUUACUUAAUUUCUUUCAUCUCUAAUAAUGGUCACCAUAUGAUU